rnacentral:rRNA from 1 species
UACGGAGGGAGCAAGCGUUACUCGGAAUUACUGGGCGUAAAGGGCGCGUAGGCGGCGGGGUAAGUCGGGUGUGAAAUCUCAGGGCUCAACCCUGAAACUGCACUUGAUACUGCUCUGCUUGAGGACUGGAGAGGAGACUGGAAUUCACGGUGAUAGCAGUGAAAUGCGUAGAUAUCGUAAGGAAGACCAGUGGCGAAGGCGGGU